UCUCUCGCUCGAACUUCUGCUCCUUUUCCGGUAAUCAGAAAUAAAAACACGAAAACAUGAAGAGUAUCCCUCUUCUAACAUGAAUCGUCACGCUUCCUCAAACUUGUGUGUCUCCGCUUAACUCUCUCACUCAUAGUGUUCGAUGUUCGAAACCCUCAAGUCUCUCAACCCUCUCUCGAUUCCUCUUGGUUCCUCUCUUAAUCAGUAAAUAGAAUCAUCAAUCAAACCCUAAAAACCCCAAAUUGAAGGUGUUUAGGAUUGCUUCAAUCGCUAUUGAUUGAAGAUUUACAAUUCAAUAUCUCUCAAUGGAAAUAUCUAAAUAAUGUCAAUCUUGUUCAAAAUCUCUCUCAGUAACUCUCUCGAAACAAGCUUUCAAUUUUUCCGCUCUCGUAAUCAUCAAUCCCUUUCUCAUAACGUGGUAUGAGCAUUUACUUAUUAUUUAAAGUUUUUUUCUUCUUUUUUUCUUUCUUUCUUAAACCUGCAGAUGUUCUCAUGUCAAUAUGAAGCAAAACAAGAAGAAAAAUCCCACUUUAAUCAAUCCUGUUGCUAAUGCUUCCAUGAGGAGGUUGGUAGUUACCUAUGUGAUUUCAAAAGGAGAUUAACAAGGUUUUGAUUGGGGGCAAUUAAGUAUUUGGUUUCAUGUUAUUGUAAUAUAAAAUUGAUCAUUUCAAUGGGGGAAAUAAGUCCUGUGCACCAAUUUUACAAGACAACAACCAUCCAAUGACAAUAUUCAUAUAAGAUAUUACCUUGUUUCACACCAAAGUAAACACAUGAGAGGUAAUCCAAGAAAAAUAUGGUGACACAAUUCAAAGUGGCCUGGAGAAAAAUGUAAGUAUUAUCCUCUUUAAGAAUACAAUCACUUUUAUUUAUUCAUAGACAUACAUAAUGUGCCAUGAUUUUCUAAUAAAUGAAAAUAUAUAUUAUUGAUUUUGUGUUUGCCUUUGUAAAAUGAAAUUUGGAUAAUUGUUUUUCUUAUGUUUUCUAUUUAUGUAUUCAUGAAUUAUUUUGAUUUGGAGGCUUCUAUUUUUGUUAUUAUGGAAAGAGAUUUGUUUGAAAAUUGACUAUGACAGGAUGCUAGUUCACUGGUUGCAGCAGCACAGGAACAAAACUAUCAACUGGUUGGUUAUCAUGUACUUUUAAUUCUAAGAAAAUUCUACAUAAAUGCUUAAAAAAAGCUCUUAAACAAUUCUUUUGAUUCAUUUGUAGUGCAUGCAUAAAAGCUCUUGAAUGUUUCUAUGAGUUCCAAUUUCCACUACAACUAGUGUUAACCGAGUCCAUGUAUAAGAGAUCGAUAAAGUCUCCUAAUCUAGUAGGUUUUGACUUGUAGGUUCUUUUGGGUGUUCCAUUUUCUCUCACAACUAGUAGUUUCUCAUAUGCAGGGUUUGUAAAUGGUUUUGAAAUAAAGGCCUACUUGAAAAUUUACUUAGAUAAGUGACUACAUGUGUUAAUGCUAAUAACAUUUGUUCUACUAUAGCUAAAAUCAAUUUCUCACACUUUUUAUGUGAACCACAGGUUAGUGGAACAGAAAUCCUGCUAAGGAAGGUUCAAACUUCAAUCUAUAUGUAAACUAUUCCCACCAAAUUAGAGAGAAGAUGUUUGAUUUCAAUCCUUUAUUGACUAUCAUGUUAUGUGUGCUUUUUUUUAUCCUUAAUAAUGAGUCCAUUUUUUAUGCUCAAACUAUUUAGAGUUCCCUAUUGAGUAAUCUAAUCUCACUUCGACAUUAUGUUUAGUUACAAAAUCAAUUUAACACUUAUGCCUUUAAUACUGUGUGGUAGUAAGUCUACCAUGAACAUGUUAAUUUCCUUUGCUUGUCUUCAUGCAGUGAACUCGUGUUUGGAAGAGGAAAGAUGUUUUUGUCUUUGCCUUGCCAAAAUGUCUUGUAUGGUGCUAAGAUGAACACUUAGAGGAUCCUUUAAAAUUCUGCAAGUUUUGGAUGUUAAGCUUAAUACAAGAGUAAUAGUGAUUUAUUAUUGGAGAAAACAUGACCAUGACGUCUUCAAAUGGUUCCAUGAUUUAGUACUGUGAGGAAAGAAGUCUUAUUUAGGAACAAUUAUUAUAGUUGUAAUUUGAUUUUUGUUGGCAAUACCUUGGUUAACUUUUGUUUGUAAUGUUUCAUACUUCCACAUCUUGUACUUGGAUGUAGUACACUUAAUUAUAAGCUUCUUUUAUUAUAAACUUGCAUUUGUUUUAUUGUUUAAAAUGUAAAUUUUAGGAUAUUUGGUGUCAAUUACGAUCUAAAUUGACAUUUUGUGAGAAA